rnacentral:rRNA from 1 species
UACGUAGGGUGCAAGCGUUAAUCGGAAUUACUGGGCGUAAGCGUGCGCAGGCGGUUUUGUAAGUUUGUCGUGAAAUCCCCGGGCUCAACCUGGGAAUGGCGAUGAAGACUGCAAGGCUAGAAUCUGGCAGAGGGGGGUGGAAUUCCCGGUGUAGCAGUGAAAUGCGUAGAGAUCGGGAGGAACAUCAGUUGCGAAGGCGGCUCUCUGGACCAGCACUGACACUGAGGCACGAAAGCGUGGGGAGCAACAGG